GCGAGGGAGUGGAGAAGCAGAGACAGGUGGCGCUUGGGAGGGUGAGCGGCUGGCUGGAGCGUUUUGGUAGGGCGCUGGUCAGUCUUGCUCCACACACUCUGGUGAUAAGUGUUUUCGUAAUCCCGGUUGCUUCUCUCUCUACCAAGCAGCGCCACACAAAACCAGAGAGCCAUGAGUACGUAAGGAAGGAGGGCUUAGGAUACCACAAGGAAGGGGUUGGAGGAGCCUUGGGGAUGCCUGAAGGAGGGGCAGUGAAGAAGGGAAGCCUGAAGGUGAAGGAAAUGCAGAAAAUUCCUCCAAUACUGAACGCUUCUCUGCACAGACCUUCCUUCGACUUAACAUCCCGUUUAUUUCUUUAUUAUUAUUUCUAAGUAUGUCUAAGGAUCACUUAUUUAUUUAUUUCUUUAUUUCUUUAUUUAUAUUUUCCAUUCGUUUUUUUUAUAAUGUAGACUCUUUAUUUCAUGUAUAUUCCUGUUUUCUGUUAUUUGUUCAUGUUAGGGAUGACAACAAAUAUUAAAAUUAUUACUGCUUUUAAUCCCACCGAGAGAGAGAGUGAGAGAGAGAGAGAGAGAGAGAGAGAGAGAGAGAGAGAGAGAGAGAGAGAGAGAGAGAGAGAGAUAGAGAUACAGACACACAAAAACCCAUAAAUUAUUUCAACACUUUCCAUUAUGAGACGAAAACCUUUUGAGUGUAUUUGAGUGUGUGUGGGAGUGUGUGGGAGCAGUCUGAGGCUGCCUGUGUUUUAGGAGCAGGUAGGGUAAGAAAUAUUAUAUCAUAAUUUUCUUUUCUUUUCACUUUUUUCCUCAGUGUGGGAGCCAGGCUGAGCUCAGCUUGGUUCCCCCUUACAUUUUUUCAUCUCUUUUUCCUUCUCCCUUAACUGCAACGUGGGAAUGAGGCUGAAUUCAGCAUUGUACUCACAGGGCAGUGUCGGAAAGGGCUGUUGCCGUAAAUAUUUGUAUAUUAAUCUAAGGAAGCUAAGGGUGACACAUGUAUGUAUCUUUUCUAGCAGAACAUGUUUGUUUUCAUCAUUAUGUAUCAUAUAAUUUUCUAACACAUGAAAUAAGUGUUAGGAAGAGUUCUCAUAUUAUCUAGAUGGUCACCAAGUUAGCAGGCAGAGGCUGGAGGACAGAGUGCCAAUGGGUGAGACAAGCAGAGUAGGCUGUCUAUAUAUACUUGUACUCAAGAACCAAUACAGUAUAGUAAAAAGG